UACGGAGGGUGCAAGCGUUAAUCGGAAUUACUGGGCGUAAAGCGUGCGCAGGCGGUUAUGCAAGACAGAUGUGAAAUCCCCGGGCUCAACCUGGGAACUGCAUUUGUGACUGCAUAGCUAGAGGACGGUAGAGGGGGAUGGAAUUCCGCGUGUAGCAGUGAAAUGCGUAGAUAUGCGGAGGAACACCGAUGGCGAAGGCAAUCCCGUGGACCUGUACUGACGCUCAUGCACGAAAGCGUGGGGAGCAAACAGG
rnacentral:rRNA from 1 species